rnacentral:rRNA from 1 species
UACGUAGGUGGCAAGCGUUGUCCGGAUUUACUGGGCGUAAAGGAUGCGUAGGUGGAUAUAUAAGUGGGAUGUGAAAUACCCGGGCUCAACUUGGGUGCUGCAUUCCAAACUGUAUAUCUAGAGUGCAGGAGAGGUAAGUGGAAUUCCUAGUGUAGCGGUGAAAUGCGUAGAGAUUAGGAAGAACACCAGUGGCGAAGGCGACUUACUGGACUGUAACUGACACUGAGGCAUGAAAGCGUGGGGAGCAAAC